rnacentral:lncRNA from 1 species
UUUCUUGUUAGGCACAUGCAUGACUAAGUUCUAAUUUGGUAGGAAUUGAGGUUGAAUUUUGGUAAUGACUUAUGUUUGUGAUGGUGCCUUAUAGCAUAUUGGUUCGAACUAGAAAAAUGACAUCUUUUGGCAUGUUUUGGUGCAUUUUGAACAAGUCUAAGGAUUGGCUAAGUGCAUACUUAUGGUGUAUAUGAGAAUUUGGUUUUGAAACUUGCAUUA